rnacentral:rRNA from 1 species
UCCCCUAGUAACUGCGAGUGAAGAGGGAAGAGCUCAAAUUUAAAAUCUGGCAGUUGUAUUAGCUGUCCGAGUUGUAAAUUAGAGAAGUGUUACCCGUGCUGGACUGUGUACAAGUCUCCUGGAAUGGAGCGUCAUAGAGGGUGAGAAUCCCGUCUUUGACACAGACUCCCAGUACAUUGUGGUACACUCUCAAAGAGUCGUGUUGUUUGGGAAUGCAGCACUAAAUGGGUGGUAAAUUCCAUCUAAAGCUAAAUAUUGGCGAGAGACCGAUAGCAAACAAGUACCGUGAGGGAAAGAUGAAAAGAACUUUGGAAAGAGAGUUAAACAGUACGUGAAAUUGUUGAAAGGGAAACGCUUAAAGUCCAGUCGCGUUGGUUAACAAUCAGUCUUGCUAUUAUUGCUUGAUGUACUUGAUAAUCAAUGGGUCAACAUCAGUUUUGAUUAUUGGAUAAAGGUUGAAGGAAUGUGGCAUUCACUUGUGGAUGUGUUAUAGCCUUUGAUUGUAUACAAUAGUUGGGACUGAGGAAACUCCCAGCAAUGGGUGAUGUUGGCAUAAUGGCUUUAAUCGACCCGUCUUGAAACACGGACCAAGGAGUCUAACAUGCAUGCGAGUAUUUGGGUGGAAAACCCAAGUGCGUAAUGAAAGUGAAAGUCAAGACCUUUUUUAGUGCAUUGACGCCCAGACUUGAUGUUUACUGACAGUUCUGCGGUAGAGCAUGUAUGUUGGGACCCGAAAGAUGGUGAACUAUGCCUGAAUAGGGUGAAGCCAGAGGAAACUCUGGUGGAAGCUCGUAGCGAUACUGACGUGCAAAUCGAUCGUCGAAUUUGGGUAUAGGGGCGAAAGA